rnacentral:rRNA from 1 species
UACGUAGGGUGCAAGCGUUAAUCGGAAUUACUGGGCGUAAAGCGUGCGCAGGCGGUUUUGUAAGUCUGUCGUGAAAUCCCCGGGCUCAACCUGGGAAUUGCGAUGGAGACUGCAAGGCUAGAAUCUGGCAGAGGGGGGUAGAAUUCCACGUGUGAGCAGUGAAAUGCGUAGAGAUGUGGAGGAACACCGAUGGCGAAGGCAGCCUCCUGGGCCAGCACCUGACGCUCUGCACGAAAGCGUUGGGGAGCAAACAGG